rnacentral:rRNA from 1 species
AAUAUUGGACAAUGGGGGAAACCCUGAUCCAGCCAUCCCGCGUGUGUGAAGAAGGCCUUUUGGUUGUAAAGCACUUUAAGCAGUGAAGAAGACUCUUCGGUUAAUACCCGGAGACGAUGACAUUAGCUGCAGAAUAAGCACCGGCUAACUCUGUGCCAGCAGCCGCGGUAAUACAGAGGGUGCAAGCGUUAAUCGGAAUUACUGGGCGUAAAGCGAGCGUAGGUGGCUUGAUAAGUCAGAUGUGAAAUCCCCGGGCUUAACCUGGGAACUGCAUCUGAUACUGUCAGGCUAGAGUAGGUGAGAGGAAGGUAGAAUUCCAGGUGUAGCGGUGAAAUGCGUAGAGAUCUGGAGGAAUACCGAUGGCGAAGGCAGCCUUCUGGCAUCAUACUGACAUUGAGGCUGGAAAGCGUGGGUAGCAAACAGGAUUAGAUACCCUGGUAGUCCACCCCGUAAACGAUGUCUACUAGUCGUUGGGUCCCUUGAGGACUUAGUGACGCAGCUAACGCAAUAAGUAGACC